UUCCGUGCCCCGGCCGGGAGCUCCUAGCCCACGCUGCCGCCAUCUUUACUGCGGGCAGCGCCGCCGGUCCUGCCGCGGGCGGCUCUCCGGGACAGCCGCGGCGGGAGAGGGAGGCGGGGACUCGCUCCUGCUCGGGAGCGAUGGGAAUCCAGCGGGAUUCACCUUCCCGCCUGCGGAAGUGCGAGAAGACCAAUGCGAGGCUCAUCAGCUCUGGCUCUACAGAUAACUUCUAGUCAAGAGUGUGAUCCGUGCUUCCAAUAUGAGGUCCGCAUGAAGAAGUAUUUAAAGCUGCAUGAAGAAGUUUAUAACGCUGGUAGCUACCCGUGUAAGUGGUGUAAGUAGGAAUGAAGAAAAAAAAACAAAACACCUGCAGUAAACAGGUCUUCUCUUGUUGACACUGGGGAUGAUUCUGUAGGCAGCGACUGAGUAAUUCCAUUCCUUUGUGUGGAGCAGAGGUUUCAUUAGCUGGCACAUUACUUACCGCUGGGAUCACUGCCUUCCCUUCCUUCCGCAUCAUGGACGCACUGUCUUGUGACUGUUCAGCAGAGGGCUGCUCAGGAGUCACAGCUUUUCUCAGGGGUCGGUAUUGCAGCCUGUAGGCAGAGCCAGUGUGGUGUUGGGGACAGACCAGACUACAGCUACAGCAGCUUUUCCUGCAAGAGCUGUGCAAGUUCACAGAGUAAGUGAUGAGAUUGGGAACCACUAUAUUAUGCUUAAGGAUCAAUGAAAGCAAAAACACUGACAAGAGGCUUAUGGAGACCCCAAAAACAUAAAGAACAAAUGGGGCUGAUGAAGAAAGCAGUGGUGCCCUUGUAAGAAGCAUGCGAUGAAGAGAAAGCCAUUUUGAAGCUAUGCCACAUGAAGACCCAGGCUACUGCACUUUCUCAGGAUGGGGGACCACAAAAGUAUGGUGAAGCUCUGUAAAGAAUACAUGCUGUAGGCCUGAAGAGAUUUUUGUUUGGUAACAUAAGCCCUUUGCUUAAACUUAUAUGUUCUGAAAACAUACAGCUUUUCAGUAGUGUGUACACAUCUGGCAGUUGCAAGAAACUGCCAGCUCCUUGACUCUAGAAUCAUAUUUAACAAUCUAGCUCAUAUAGGAUGUAUACUCUUGUUUUCCCAGAAUGCUCUGAGCUUCUUUUCCAAUUCCUGAUAAAGAAUUAUAAGAAGUCUUCAGUAUAUAAAUUUAUGUAGUUUCUUUAGAGCCAACCUUUAUACCAAAAAACUUGUCUGUGUAAAGGACACUGUGACUUUAAUCUAAAAUUGUGUGUAACAUCUUGCAUUGGUCAUCAGUUUUUUCAUUUUGAAGGCAAAACUUCAUCUAUUGCCUUCAUUUUUAGAGAAUGCUUCCUUCUAUCAUAUUUUCAUACCUGUUCCUGACUCAAGGCUUACAGAGUUCCUGCCAGCACUUUUCAUUUCAAUUCAGAACACCUCAUCCAGGAGCAACAGUGAUGGCUAUCUUGAAUAAAGGCAUUGGCUCUUUUUCCUGGCA